rnacentral:rRNA from 1 species
AUUGAACGCUGGCGGCAGGCCUAACACAUGCAAGUCGGACGGUAGCACAGAGAAGCUUGCUCUUCGGGUGACGAGUGGCGGACGGGUGAGUAAUGUCUGGGAAACUGCCCGAUGGAGGGGGAUAACUACUGGAAACGGUAGCUAAUACCGCAUAACGUCGCAAGACCAAAGUGGGGGACCUUCGGGCCUCACACCAUCGGAUGUGCCCAGAUGGGAUUAGCUGGUAGGCGGGGUAACGGCCCACCUAGGCGACGAUCCCUAGCUGGUCUGAGAGGAUGACCAGCCACACUGGAACUGAGACACGGUCCAGACUCCUACGGGAGGCAGCAGUGGGGAAUAUUGCACAAUGGGCGCAAGCCUGAUGCAGCCAUGCCGCGUGUAUGAAGAAGGCCUUUGGGUUGUAAAGUACUUUCAGCGGGGAGGAAGGUGCUGAGGUUAAUAAGCUCAGCAAUUGACGUUACCCGCAGAAGAAGCACCGGCUAACUCCGUGCCAGCCGCCGCCGUAA